GAGUGUAUAGCUCAGGGGUAGAGCACAUGCUUCACUUGCAAGAGGUCCUGGGUUCAAUCCCCAGUACCUCCA
rnacentral:tRNA from 1 species